ensembl:lncRNA MIR124-1HG MIR124-1 host gene
GAAUGGGGCUGGCUGAGCACCGUGGGUCGGCGAGGGCCCGCCAAGGAAGGAGCGACCGACCGAGCCAGGCGCCCUCCGCAGACCUCCGCGCAGCGGCCGCGGGCGCGAGGGGAGGGGUCUGGAGCUCCCUCCGGCUGCCUGUCCCGCACCGGAGCCCGUGGGGUGGGGAGGUGUGCAGCCUGUGACAGACAGGGGCUUAGAGAUGCAAACAGACUCAGGGAGAGAAACAGAAGCUGAUUCUGUGACAGAAGCAGAUCUGUGCAGCACAGAUGCGGUGUGCGUGGGGAGGGGGUCGCCUGGGAGCGCAUUGCGGAGUGCUUGUGUGUGCAGAUUUUUCUCUGGGCUCAGGACUCAUUGUAUGUGGGUCAACACCUUCCUCCGUGACUGUGUUUUUGUUCUGAGCUGAGUUUUUUGGUUUGCCCUUAAAAAAAUAAUAAUUUGGCAUCCAGAGACUGGCAGACUGCCUCAGGGCCUGGACUGCGGAUAUAUUGUGUUCUGCUUGAGGUUUGGGGAGGAGGGCAGGCGGUAGGAAGGGAGAGGGGGAGCUGUUUGUCACACUUUGCUGUAGAGCUGAGAGCACCUGACAAGCUUAAGGAAGUCGUUGGGCUAUGUGGACAAGAAGGAGCCAGCUCCCAGCGGGUUCACAAGCUCUAUCGGAGUUGAAAGCGUGGUCAUGGCUCUAAGGAGCACCUCACGCCCUCCCUGUAGCUGUUAUUGCAGUUUCAGGCAGAGAUCCAGGAGCUGCAGAGGAAGGGAGAGGCACAAUAACCUACAUGGACCCAAGGGAGACAUGUGUUCCUUUAAAAAUGUGAACAGAAGGAAAAACAGAAUGUGUGCAACUGGGGGUCUGAGGAAAGACUGUUUUGAAAGAGGCUGUCAGGGAAUGGAAAGGGUUAAGCUUUUCAUCCUGAAGAACCUGCUUCCCAAAUCAGGCCUUCCUCCCAUCACUAGACCCUGAGCAGCAGCUGGUCCUAGAGACCCCCCUCGUACUGCGCUGCCACAGUCUCAUCCCAUUUCCAGCUCUGUAUUAACCACCAAGCUGCAGCGGAUGGGGCAAGACCUAAGCUCAUUAAUUUCCAGGUGGAGGAAAUGGAGGAGGGGCAGGUCCCUGCAGUAGAGGGAGGAGCAGAGAAAGGAGGCCAAGAGCUGGAUCCUUCUGCCCAGGAAGCCUGCUGCAUCCCUUCCCCCGAGCAUGGCAGAGGCCUGGCUUUGCAAGGCCAAGGCCAUAAGGGAUGCUUAGGAGAUUAAUUUGAUUCCUGACACAAUAAUCAAGCCCUAAGAGUCUCCACUGAAGCUUACUGAGGACUUCUUUCCUCUCCAAAGCCUCAGUCUAGCCUGCUAAAUAAAUUAGUAUUCAGUGAUGCCUUGGAUCAGGGCCCCUCCCCGGCCUCAGUUUCCCCAAAUAUUUAUUAAGUACCUACUGUGUGCAAUCCUUGUGUAAUUAUUAACUCUUAGGCUCUUCAUUUGCCCUCCUAAAGCAGUGUUUAGAGUCAGGCAGAGGUUAAGUGUGUUGCACCUCACCUAGAUACUUCCAGAACCUUCUCUGGGUCUGCAGAAUGUGGCACAACCUGCUUGCCCCCGCAGAGAGAAAGCUGCAGUGCACAUCCUGCAGACUGCAGGUGCUGGGCUGCCUCUGGAGUCCCAGAAGGCAAGCUUGGCUGCAGGACAGAAAGGGAGAACAGCUUCUCUCACCCCUGAGCCUUCACAAGCCCUUGUCUAUUUGCCGUUGCCUUCAAAAUAUACCUCCCCCGAAACCAGUAGCUUUCUGAGUCCUGGUGUCCCCUCCGCCCUUUCUGGACAGGUUUGGGAAGAAGAAAGCAGUCAGUGCUGGGCCUUAUUGGGGUGUGAAGCGCCUUGCUCUGCCCCUUCUGCUCACUGUGAAGGCCGCUGGAUGCUUCUCUUAGGCAUGGUUUAAGCCUCCGAUUACUAAACCCCUUGCCCCACAAACGUCCACAUUGACGAGCCUCUUUUUAGUAACUGCUUCCCCGUAAUUCCUUCAGAGGUUGCUGUACCCUUCGCUGAUGUGCUGCCCUCCUGUAAAACCUCCAGAUGCCUUCCCACGUAAUGCCCCUUUCAGAUGCUUUAAGCUGAGAGCUUAAACCACAGGUACCAUGGCUGACGCCUGCCAGGUUUCUGCUGCAGAUAAUCUAUGAUGGGAGGGGCAUAUUUUUUACUUCAUUACUUAUGUAAACUCUUGUUCCAGAAAGCUUUAAUGUGUGUGGGAGUGUUCUGGGUCUAUUAGGUCUGUGCGCAUGGGUGUGGGCAUUUGCCUGUGUCCACCGGGUGGGUCUCAUUAUGAAAUGUAUGUUUAUGUAGGGCUUUAAUGGCUGAAAAUGGCAAAGAGAUGAAUAGACCACUUGGCCCCAUGUGUAAUUGCCAGGCCCCUUCUGUGCUCAAAUGAGGUGUCCGAGUGAAGGUCAGCCCUUCCCUUCUGUAUUUGGGGCCUAUUUAUGCCACCAGUAAUUUUAUAAGAAAUCUGAAUAGUUCUCCCCUUUGAGUGCAUUUAACUCUUUAGUAUCUUCUCUCUUACCUAUUUGAGCCCCUCUAGCUACAGUCUGGCUUAAAUGAAAGGGGAAUUAUAUGCUUAAGAAAAAGUAGGACACGGUUGAGGCAGUUUGCUGACUGAAUACGCGAAGAAGGACCUGAUGGGCUCAUAUGCACCACUGCCAUCACAGUCCCCAUCGUGAUGCAAGCUUAUAUGAUUCUUGAGAAACAGCCCAGAUCUCCUCUUAAGCGGAAAAGAGAUUGACCUUCUAGCAGAGGCAAAGGUAAACUCCUAAUGGAGUCUUCUGGGGGCAGCUGCAAAGCGUUCUCCCUAGGACAGAUGGAGCCUCCCUUUCCUCAUCUACUCUGUGGGUGGUUUCAGGGCCCACGAGUCAACAUGAGGAGUUGUGCUGGUGGUAUGUGUGUUGGAGGCUGGGCUGGCUGAUUCACAGUGACGAGGAUGUCAAUAAUAACAAGAAUGAGAAUGAUGGUACCUAAUAAAGACUUUUUUUCCCAA